AUUGAACGCUGGCGGCAGGCCUAACACAUGCAAGUCGAGCGGAGCGGCGGACGGGUGAGGGAUGCCUAGGAAUCUGCCUGGUAGUGGGGGAUACCGUCCGGGAACGGGCGCUAAUACCGCAUGCUAUCAGGUGGGCCUAGGUCGGAUUAGCUAGUUGGUGGGGUAAAGGCCUACCAAGGCGACGAUCCGUAACUGGUCUGAGAGGAUGAUCAUUCACACUGGAACUGAGACACGGUCCAGACUCCUACGGGAGGCAGCAGUGGGGAAGAUUGGACAAUGGGCGAAAGCCUGACCCAGCCAUGCCGCGUGUGUGAAGAAGGUCUUCGGAUUGUAAAGCUCUUUAAGUUGGGAGGCGUUACCAACAGAAUAAGCACCGGCUAACUUCGUGCCAGCAGCCGCGGUAAUUC
rnacentral:rRNA from 1 species